rnacentral:rRNA from 1 species
CCUACGGGUGGCAGCAGUGAGGAAUAUUGGUCAAUGGGCGCAAGCCUGACCCAGCAACGCCGCGUGAAGGAAGAAGGCUCUCGGGUUGUAAACUUCUUUUAUCAGGGACGAAGCAAGUGACGGUACCUGAUGAAUAAGCCACGGCUAACUACGUGCCAGCAGCCGCGGUAAUACGUAGGUGGCAAGCGUUAUCCGGAUUUACUGGGUGUAAAGGGCGUGUAGGCGGGAAAGCAAGGCAGAUGUGAAAACAAUGGGCUCAACCUGUGGCCUGCAUUUGAAACUGUUUUUCUUGAGUACUGGAGAGGCAGGCGGAAUUCGUAGUGUAGCGGUGAAAUGCGUAGAUAUUAGGAGGAACACCAGUGGCGAAGGCGGUCUGCUGGACAGCAACUGACGCUGAGGCGCGAAAGCGUGGGGAGCAAACAGGAUUAGAUACCCCUGUAGUC